rnacentral:rRNA from 1 species
CAGAAGAUUUUAGCGGUGGAUCAUUCGGUUCGUGGUCGAUGAAGAACGCAGCUAGUGCGAGAAUAAUGUGAAUUGCAGGACACAUUGAUCAUCGACACUUUGAACGCACUUUGCGGCCCCGGGUUCUUCCCGGGGMUACGCCUGUCUGAGGGUCGCUUU